UGAGGAAUAUUGGUCAAUGGGCGAGAGCCUGAACCAGCCAGAGUAGCUGUGCAGGCAUGACGGCCCUAUGGGAUUGUAAACUGUCUUUUAUACAGGGAUAAAGUGAGGAACGUGUGGCCUUUUUGUCAGGUACCGUAAGAAAAAGGGGCCGGCUAAUAACCAG
rnacentral:rRNA from 1 species